AUUGAACGCUGGCGGCAUGCCUUACACAUGCAAGUCGAACGGUAACAGGUCUUCGGAUGCUGACGAGUGGCGAACGGGUGAGUAAUACAUCGGAACGUGCCUAGUAGUGGGGGAUAACUACUCAAAAGAGUGGCUAUUACCGCAUGAGAUCUACGGAUGAAAGCAGGGGAUCGCAAGACCUUGUGCUACUAGAGCGGCCGAUGGCAGAUUAGGUAGUUGGUGGGAUAAAAGCUUACCAAGCCGACGAUCUGUAGCUGGUCUGAGAGGACGAUCAGCCACACUGGGACUGAGACACGGCCCAGACUCCUACGGGAGGCAGCAGUGGGGAAUUUUGGACAAUGGGCGCAAGCCUGAUCCAGCAAUGCCGCGUGCAGGAUGAAGGCCUUCGGGUUGUAAACUGCUUUUGUACGGAACGAAAAGCCCUGGGUUAAUACCCUGGGGUCAUGACGGUACCGUAAGAAUAAGCACCGGCUAACUACGUGCCAGCCGCCGCAGUAAAAC
rnacentral:rRNA from 1 species